rnacentral:rRNA from 1 species
GCGCAGCAGUCGCGAAACCUCCGCAAUACACGAAAGUGUGACGGGGCCAUCCCGAGUGCCGUCCGCUGAGGACGGCUUUUCCCCAGUGUACACAGCUGGGGGAAUAAGGAGAGGGCAAGCCUGGUGUCAGCCGCCGCGGUAAUACCAGCUCUCCGAGUGGUGGGGACGCUUAUUGGGCCUAAAGCAUCCGUAGCCGGCUGGGCAAGUCCUCCGUUAAAUCCAACGAUUCAAUCGUUGGGCUGCGGGGGAUACUGUCCAGCUUGGGGGCGGGAGAGGCCGACGGUAUUCCCCGGGGUAGGGGUGAAAUCCUAUAAUCCCGGGAGGACCACCAGUGGCGAAGGCUGUCGGCUAGAACGCGCCCGACGGUGAGGGAUG